AUUGAACGCUGGCGGCAGGCUUAACACAUGCAAGUCGAGCGGAGAUGAGGUGCUUGCACCUUAUCUUAGCGGCGGACGGGUGAGUAAUGCUUAGGAAUCUGCCUAUUAGUGGGGGACAACAUUCCGAAAGGAAUGCUAAUACCGCAUACGUCCUACGGGAGAAAGCAGGGGAUCUUCGGACCUUGCGCUAAUAGAUGAGCCUAAGUCGGAUUAGCUAGUUGGUGGGGUAAAGGCCUACCAAGGCGACGAUCUGUAGCGGGUCUGAGAGGAUGGUCCGCCACAAUGGGACUGAGACACGGCCCAGAGUCCUGAGGGAGGUAGCAGUGGGGAAUACUGGACAAUGGGGGGAACCCUGAUCCAGCCAUGCCGGGUGUGUGAAGAAGGCCUUAUGGUUGUAAAGCACUUUAAGCGAGGAGGAGGCUACCGAGACUAAUACUCUUGGAUAGUGGACGUUACUCGCAGAAUAAGCACCGGCUAACUCUGUGCCAGCCGCCGCAGUAAGAC
rnacentral:rRNA from 1 species